GAUGAACGCUGGCGGCGUGCUUAACACAUGCAAGUCGAACGAUGAAGCUGGAGCUUGCUCCGGUGGAUUAGUGGCGAACGGGUGAGUAACACGUGAGCAAUCUGCCUUCAACACUGGGAUAACUCCGGGAAACCGGGGCUAAUACCGGAUAUGAAACCUGCGGGCAUCCGCGGGUUUGGAAAGUUUUUCGGUUGAAGAUGAUCUCGCGGCCUAUCAGCUUGUUGGUGAGGUAAUGGCUCACCAGGGCGACGACGGGUAGCCGGCCUGAGAGGGCGACCGGCCACACUGGGACUGAGACACGGCCCAGACUCCUACGGGAGGCAGCAGUGGGGAAUAUUGGGCAAUGGAGGAAACUCUGACCCAGCGACGCCGCGUGCGGGAUGAAGGCCUUCGGGUUGUAAACCGCUUUCAGCAGGGAAGAAGCGAAAGUGACGGUACCUGCAGAAGAAGCACCGGCUAACUAUGUG
rnacentral:rRNA from 1 species